GUGUGCUAGGUGGAGAGUUAGCGGUGCUCUGUAACCCGCAAUCCGCUACAGCGGGACUGAAUUCCUGCCAGAGAAUAUUGAUUUUUGUUUUGAAGUUGAUAAGUGGUGUUGAGAAUCAAGCCUGACGCAAUUGAAAGCUGUGAACCUUGUCAGGUCCGGAAGGAAGCAGCAAUAAGCAGAUAUUUCAAUGUGCCGUCAGCCUACUUGAUUUGAGCCAACUGUCAACGGAUAAACAAAAUAGAUAUCGAAGGCAGGUGCACAC
rnacentral:SRP_RNA from 2 species